rnacentral:rRNA from 1 species
AUUGAACGCUGGCGGCAGGCCUAACACAUGCAAGUCGAACGAGAGGCGGACGGGUGAGUAAUGUCUGGGAAACUGCCAGAUGGAGGGGGAUAACUACUGGAACCGGUAGCUAAUACCGCAUACCAUCGGAUGUACCCAUAUGGGAUUAGCUUGUAGGUGGGGUAACGGCGCACCUAGGCGACGAUCCCUAGCUGGUCUGAGAGGAGGAUCAGCCAAACGGGGACUGAGACACGGCCCAGACUCCUACGGGAGGCAGCAGUGGGGAAUAUUGCACAAUGGGCGCAAGCCGGAUGCAGCCAUGCCGCGUGUAUGAAGAAGGCCUUCGGGUUGUAAAGUACUUUCAGUCGGGAGGCGUUACCGACAGAAGAAGCACCGGCUAACUCCGUGCCAGCAGCCGCGGUAAUAC